UGAGUUAUCGAGUCUAUUCGCAACAGCAC
rnacentral:sRNA from 1 species